UCCGGAAAAAAAUUUGCGUUGCAAAAUAUCAAUAGUAAAUCGGUUCACGAAUUUUCACUCGCUCGAUUAUGGCUGCACUGUAGUACCAAAUGUGAAAUACGAAAGACCGACAACCAUUUAGAUGCCUGAUGAAGACAGGGACGGGAAAAGGUGAAUUUAUUGUAGCUUAUCACUUGGUCAGUUUCAAGAGUUUCUUUCAGGUAGAUAUGUGUGUUUUCCGUUAAGAAAUUUAACGUUCUGCCUAUGCUUCAUAAUUCAUAAUAAUAAUAAAUAUAAAUAAAUUCGUUUCGAUCUAGGGUGGUGUUAAAUAUUCAGAACAAAAUAUAAUUAUUCGUGUUCAGAAGUUGAAAACAAAUAUGAACUCGAGAAACACCUAAUAGUGU